AACGAACGCUGGCGGCAUGCCUAAUACAUGCAAGUCGAACGAGAUCUUCGGAUCUAGUGGCGCACGGGUGCGUAACGCGUGGGAAUCUACCCUUGGGUUCGGAAUAACAGUUAGAAAUGACUGCUAAUACCGGAUGAUGUCGUAAGUCCAAAGAUUUAUCGCCCAGGGAUGAGCCCGCGUAGGAUUAGCUAGUUGGUGAG
rnacentral:rRNA from 1 species